rnacentral:rRNA from 1 species
UACAGAGGUGCCAAGCGUUAGGCGGAAUCACUGGGCUUAAAGCGCGUGUAGGCGGGUCGUUAAGUGUCUUGUGAAAUCCCACGGCUCAACCGUGGAACUGCUGGGCAUACUGACGAUCUUGAGGCACUCAGGGGCUGUCGGAACAAAUGGUGGAGCGGUGAAAUGCGUAGAUAUCAUUUGGAACGCCAACGGUGAAAACAGACAGCUGGGGGUGUCCUGACGCUGAGACACGAAAGCCAGGGGAGCGAACGGG